GACGAACGCUGGCGGCGUGCCUAAUACAUGCAAGUCGUGCGGGAGAAGCUUUCUUCGGAAAGUGGAUCUAGCGGCGAACGGGUGAGUAACACGUGGGCAACCUGCCCGCAAGACUGGGAUAACUCCGGGAAACCGGGGCUAAUACCGGAUAGUCUUUUUCUUCGCAUGAAGGAAAAGGGAAAGAUGGCUUCGGCUAUCACUUGUGGAUGGGCCCGCGGUGCAUUAGCUAGUUGGUAGGGUAACGGCCUACCAAGGCGACGAUGCAUAGCCGACCUGAGAGGGUGACCGGCCACACUGGGACUGAGACACGGCCCAGACUCCUACGGGAGGCAGCAGUAGGGAAUUUUCCGCAAUGGGCGCAAGCCUGACGGAGCAACGCCGCGUGAGUGAGGACGGCCUUCGGGUUGUAAAACUCUGUUCUUUCGAAAGAGUGCCAAGGAGCCGAAUAGGUUCUUUGGUUGGACGGUACGAGAGGAGAAAGCCCCGGCUAACUAC
rnacentral:rRNA from 1 species